rnacentral:rRNA from 1 species
UACGUAGGGUGCAAGCGUUAAUCGGAAUUACUGGGCGUAAAGCGUGCGCAGGCGGUUAUGUAAGUCAGUUGUGAAAUCCCCGGGCUCAACCUGGGAACUGCAUCUGUGACUGCAUAGCUAGAGUACGGUAGAGGGGGAUGGAAUUCCGCGUGUAGCAGUGAAAUGCGUAGAUAUGCGGAGGAACACCGAUGGCGAAGGCAAUCCCCUGGACCUGUACUGACGCUCAUGCACGAAAGCGUGGGGAGCAAACGGG